CUAAGCUAAUGUGUUUUAGUCUGUCACGUGAUGUAAACAAACAGAUAACUCAGCAGGGUAGGUGCCGGCUGUGUGAAUGUGUUCAUUUUUUGACAGCUAAAGCCUAGAUCUAUUGGUCAAACAGUUAGAGUAUCCAAGUGUUCCUUCAGUCAUAGUUGGCGCAAACUUGAAGUCAUAAUGAAACUACAUGGUCUAGAUACAAUCCAACCUACACACAUAAUAGCUGACCCAGAACUUCAUAUCAUAAGCUUGACGAAAUUGCAAUGCCAAAAUUCGGGGUUGGACUACAGUUAUGAGCCAGGAAACCGUACUUGAGACCAUACCUGACCAUGCAAUCCUGUAAAGCUGAACCAAUAAGGAGUUGCUGUGUAGGAACUCUUCUUUGUCCUGACCACUUUGUUAUAGGAACAUUAUACUGUAUUCAAGGGUUGGACUACAGUUAUGAGCCAGGAAACCGUACUUGAGACCAUACCUGAUCAUGCAAUCCUGUAAAGCUGAACCAAUAAGGAGUUGCUGUGUAGGAACUCUUCUUUGUCCUGACCACUUUGUUAUAGGAACAUUAUACUGUAUUCAAUUAAAAGGAGAAAUAAUUUCUCUGGAGAAAUGCUGUUGAUGGCCUCUACCCCAAACACCUUCACCACCUGCCCGUCUAGAGUUCAAAGCAUUGUACAGAAAAGAGUGUGAUCUACUGAUGAACCAGUCCACAUUGAGUACAUUGUGAUUACCCUUCUAGUGUGUUGAUGUCUACCUAGUCAUUGUUUAUGACAAUUGCCAACCAUUAGGACA